UGCGGGCAUGCGUACAACUCACGGAAUGACGGUAGGGUGGAAAUCGCGGAGGUUCGAGGGUACGAACGAGGGUGACACCCUGCAGUCUGACGCGGGACUUCGACCCCCGUGCUUCGACGGGGAUCAAGUGGCAACACUCUCGAACCCUCGGAUCCGCAAACGCCGGAGAACAGCGGCCGCUCGUGGGAUUCGGUGCGCGAGUUCGCGUCGAGAGAUUCAGGAGAACGGAUGCGGAUAACCCUUGAUUACCCUUCUCGAUGAUUAGGACGAGGACAGGACUGGAGGGGACUAUUUCGAAAGAGGAAAACGACGGUGCCUCUGCGAACAAUUUCAUUUCCGCGAGCUAGGAAGCUCACGUGUGUAACGCGAUUUUUCGCGCGGCAAGAAGAAUAGUCUACGAAUUGGCUUCGGCGGUUGAAAUACGGUUCCAUUUCCCUUUUCUCGCUUUACGAUCUCUCCGAGUUAUCGGAUUCAACAAGAGAGAAAGAGAGAGAGAGAUGCUAACUAAAGAAAAUAAAAAACCGAGGCAACGCUGGAAAAGUCAUCGUAUUUCUUUCCGUUCGAUUACGAGGUGUACGAAGUUCCAUUUGCGGAGGAGCGCAUCGGAGCGGAAAGUCCUGCCGAUCGCACGCAUCGAGGGGGUUUUGUCAAAAUACAAAUUGGAGUACGUUGAUCUCGGAAAGUGAUCAUCGCGUCUGUCGCGAGUGUUUCAUUAAUUAACUUAACAUGGGAACCGAAGCGGGGGAGGCAGGAGGCCGAUACAGGAAUGUCGCGGAAGGAGGAGCCGGCGCACGACGGGCGGGGGGAGGGGAGGGGAAGGCGGAGUCAGUCACGGACGAGCCACUCCAAGACGAGACGAAUCUACGAAAUAAUGAGACUUGCAACAAAGAGAUUCCAGAAGGUAAGUUUAAUCAGUCUAACUUGAUAGGUUCCGAUCGGAAUGUUUAAUUCGGAAAAAAAAGUUUCAUCCUAUUUAUCGCGACCGAUUCAAUUUGAAAUCUGCAGCGACCAGUUGUCUGCUGUAAAUUUUUCGCCGACCAAAGUUUCAAUCAUUUUUUUCGACAUCACGGGCAUCAGUUUGUCCGUUUGUUUGUUUUUUGUUUUGCUUAAUUUAAUUCACCAGCAACAGUUUGACUUUUAAUGCUCGCAGCGCUGAAUUAAAAAGUCGAAAACGCUUUGACAGCUUGCAACUGACAAAAGAGGAUUAACCCAUGGUGGCGAAUACGACGUCGGGCGACGGCGACGGUGACGACGAUGUGACAGCGUCGGCAACUUUUUCCCCGAUAUAAAUAUGUAUACGGGGCAACCCCGACACAAGCUACACGCCGUAAUCCGUGACACCGCUAAUGAAGAAAGAUUGAUGACAGAAACGAAGGAAAAAAAAAGACGUCGUCGGCACAAAGGUUCGUUUCAUUUUCAUGGGGAGAUCAGCGUUUCGUAACUCGCUAGCAAUUUGCAGGCGUUUUGUCGUCGCGGCGACAACAACGGAAGCGAUCUGUGCCGUUCCCUUCUCCCCUCCUUUCCCGGAGGGACUGGACCGGGAUAUCGCGAUCUCCCGACGGGGUAAAACAGCGUAAGGGAAGGGUGAAAAGGGGCCAGGAUGAGAAUUAGGGGGCGCGCCCGGUCGACCAGCUGGAGGUAGGAAAAAUCGAAGAAACGAAGGGUCAAAUGCCACGUGAUGGAUAGCCCGCCAUAGGAGGUCCAAGCGUAUGAAAUUGAUCAGCCAGCCAGAAUCAUUCGAUUCUACUUCCUCUAUUCCCGUCCUUUUCCUUUGCCCUAAUGUUGUCCAAUCCUCCCGCCAUCCUCCUCCUUUCCUCUCUCUCUCUCUCUCUCUCUCUCUCUCUCUCUCUCUCUCUCUCUCUCUUCGCUCGCGUUCGCGCUUGUCGAAACUCUCGCUCCUCUCCACCCUUUGUUUCUUUCGUACCAUUCAUUUUCCUUCCGCGUACGUACGACGUCGAUAACUCUGAUUCUCCCGAAUCCGGAGGGCUACCACUGGCCUCGGCGGUAGUGUUUUAUUUUCACGAUCCCGACCAAUGGCCGCGGUCCACGGCCGAUUGCCGAUGGCAAUGCUCUCGAGGAAAUUCAUGUAGCAUGUAAGAAAAAUUACGAUUCCUCCACUUUUCCGCCGAACCACCGGCUGGUUAACGAGGGAAAGAGAGAGAGAGGGAGAGAAAGAUGCCGGCAAAUAUCGUGGCUUCUAUAUGGGUUUCUCUUUGAAAAAAAAAAGGAAACCAACUCGUUCUUUAUGCAAUCUGGUCUGAAUCCACGGUUUGAGUCGCGCGCGCGCGAGAAUAAAUCUUACAUUUUAAUUCGAGAAUACUCCUCGAGGAGACGAUUUAAAUCACGAAUGGAAUUCAUACGAAAUUUUCCGAGUAAUUUCCCAGCACGGUUCAAAGGCCAGUCUCAAAUACAGACUCGAUUUAUAAGUGCGAAUAAACUUUCGCGAGAUUAUAACGCCGUCUGCCGAUAAUAAUCUGGCGGUACCGAGUGAAAUCAAUUUCACGUUUUGAAGCGUCCGCGGCGGGCUUCUGUUCCAAGUUGUGGCAAAUGCUCGAACGAUCGCGGAAAUGGGGACACCCUGUACACAACGAGGCGAUAACAGUUCGCGAGAGUUAUAGAGGGAGCGAAGUUAGUAAGCUCCGACCAGGGAACACAGAGGUUGAUAUAUAAGAUAGAGUUAAACAGACAAGAGAGAGAAGGGGGGGGGAGAGUGGAGUUGGUAAGGGGAAAAGAGAACACAAUGACGAGUGAAACAAGAAAGGAGAGGUCUGGCUGAAAGCGUAGACGCAACGGGAAGACGAAGAAAGACGCAACGAGAUCGCGAGUCGUCUGAUAACAAUAAAUACCUAUCAAUGCCAGACAGAAUUGCGUCAAAGUUGCCUUUCCUCGCGAUUCGCUAAUAAAGCAGGAUCGAUUCGAGAAGACACGUUCUCUUAAAUAUCCCUUUCGCACCUUGAAGCGAGUCUACGGAAACGUUCGUAAUUUAUGCGAAAAAUAUGUUCAGCAAGUAAUAGAUGGGAUGUAUAAGCUACCUCUAUAGAAUCCAUAAGAACAAGUAGCGAAACCUGCGCUAGGCCCGACGCAAAGGAUGCGGAAGGUAAAGAAUCGACAGAUAAAAGUGUUUUACGCUGUCGAAACGCAAAGUGCGAUACAUUCCUUAGAGGAAGGAAAAAAAGGGACAGGAAGCUUCGAAAGUUCGGCCAAGAAAGUUUGCAAAAGCACACUGCUGCCACCAAAACGACUUUCGUCCAGCACACAGCUUCGAAUUUCAUUUUGAAACGUUGAAUCUUAUUAAGAAGUAAAGUCGUUUCGGCGAAAGUUGGCGAAUAUUGUGGACGGGGUUUCCUUAUAAAUCCGUGGCUCAGCGCGAUAUUUCUCGUUGGCCCUGAAAGCCUGCCUCGAAAACUCCAAUUUCGGAUGGAAGUGAUUACAAGGAUAUUGUCACCCGGAAAGCUCUUACGGGGCGAAGUACUUACGUUAUUCCCUUGCUUAACUUAACGCUUUACGAUUCGUAAUAAGUGUGCUGCUUGUUCGCGACGACGCGGCGAUUAAUAAUGAUCAAACCGGGGGCAAACUUUAUUGCCGCGCGUUUCUGUUCAUCAUGCUUUGUGCCCUCGACGAGACUUUUUUCAUUACUCCCUGUAUUCUCAUUAAGUGCAACGUCCGUUCGAGGAUUAUACUGCAAGAAGCAUCUCGCGCAUAAAAAUCGUUUAUCGAGAAAACUUUUCAAUGACCCAUGAGAAAUUUUAUCGACAAUCAGUGAUACUUUGAAUAUUACUAAUUAACGUUAAUUUUUUUUUUUUCACCAAUUUUAGCAAACUUAGUGAUUUUAAAAAUAUCGUUAUAUCUACACGUUUAAUGAAUGAAUCAAAAGUAUUUAACGAGUGCACGUAAAAUCGUACGAAGUCAGAAAUGAAACAUAUAAUAUGAUGCCCAGACAAUACAGCGGUUUUAACCUUGUCACAUCUCUUUUUUCGAACGAGACUGCCACACUAGGUCACCAACGCAAUUUUCAAUAAGCUGCGGUUUAAAAACUAAGUGUCCAAAAUAAUAAAAGAAUAGAGGCCCAUAAAGAGCAAAUUAAGGUGUAAAAAUUUAGUGGAAUUUAUUAUUCUAAUGCAAAUUAAUAAUAAUCUGUACGUUUCGAUUUACUUAGUCUUCCUCAACGAUAAUCUUACAUACAUAUAAAAUAAAUGAAGACAUUACAAAUGAAUAAAUUUAAAAAAUUAAAAACACAAAGAACGAAACAGUUGAGUCAUAAAACAAUUACAUCACAGUUUAACAUAUCAACGGAUUACAAAAAAAAAUUUAGUGAUUAUAGUCAGUUAAAAUUGUGAUAAUUUUGUUGUUUAAUUAGUAAAAUAGAAGUUAAAAAGUGAUGUUUAAAUUUGUUAUCUAAAGAAAAAGUAAAAAACUAAGUAAAAAAUAAACAAAGACAAGAAUAAGACUAUUUAUUCACUGUGAAUGCAAGAGAAUGAAAUAUUUAAUUUUAGUUUAUGCUUGACGUGUGUCUCGAUCGAUCCGCAAUACUUAAAAGUUAAAUCGAAUCUGGCUGUAAAAUUCGACCUGACCGGCUAACAUUGUUUUUAUAUGUAGGCGCGUUACUUAUACCUUCUUCUAACGGUGUGAGUUUUUAUUGUUGUUCUUAAGUCUGUCUAAGAUUGCAAAAUAAGAUUCAUCUAGCAAUUCGGUAUCUUUGUUUAAAUUGAGAUCGUAUGACUGCUCUUUGAUGUGCAACAUUUCUAAGAUCAAUCUUCUAUAAUAAUUCGGUUCAAAUUCCAAAAUCCUCAAGUUAUCCCAAUCAAAGGUGUAAUUAAAUUUUAACAUAUGGUCAGAGAUAACCGAAAGUUUUGAAACGUCCAUUUUCAUAUUAUUUUUGUGAUCUUUUAAUCUAGUUUUCAGUUUCUUUUUCGUUUGCCCAACGUACAAAGCAUCGCAAUUUUUACAGAAUAUCUUGUACAACGUUAAUUGUUACUUUGAUUUUGUUAGACUUGAUCCUUGUGCACUUUAAUGAAUCUAUUGAGAUUAUUGAAAAUCUUAUGUCCUAUGGUGAAUUUAUUUUUAUUUAUUACAGGCUGCUAUAGUUUCAGACAUAUUCUUGAUAUAAGGAAUUACCAUGAAUUUUUUGUCUUUUUGCUCCUCAGUUUUUUUAUUUAUGUUAAGAGAGAGAUUUCUCUCUCUCAUAUUGGAAUUCAGUCUGGUGUUGAAUACUUUCUUGAGUCUUAUAUUGAUUUUGUUAAAAAUUAUUUCGAGAGGAUAUCCGUCGUCUAAUAAGAGGUUUAUAACAAGUCCUAUGUUUUUUUUUUGUGGAAUUUAGGAUGUGACAGCAAAACUGCUCUGUCAACAAGCCCAUAAAUUAUGCCGAUCUUAUGGCAGGUCGGAUGAUUGGAGAAAUACGAAAAA